UGGGGAUAUUGCGCAAUGGGGGCAACCCUGACGCAGCAACGCCGCGUGAAGGAUGAAGGUUUUCGGAUUGUAAACUUCUUUUAUUAAGGACGAAUAAUGACGGUACUUAAUGAAUAAGCUCCGGCUAACUACGUGCCAGCAGCCGCGGUAAUACGUAGGGAGCAAGCGUUGUCCGGAUUUACUGGGUGUAAAGGGUGCGUAGGCGGCUAAGCAAGUCAGAUGUGAAAUCUAUGGGCUCAACCCAUAAACUGCAUUUGAAACUGCAUAGCUUGAGUGAAGUAGAGGCAGGCGGAAUUCCCCGUGUAGCGGUGAAAUGCGUAGAGAUGGGGAGGAACACCAGUGGCGAAGGCGGCCUGCUGGGCUUUAACUGACGCUGAGGCACGAAAGCGUGGGUAGCAAACAGGAUUAGAUACCCUGGUAGU
rnacentral:rRNA from 1 species